GGAAGUGGAGUUGAUUUGGCUGCAAAUAUCAUCCGUGAUCUGCCAGAGCUGAUUCAGCUAAUGUGGCUGGCUUGGUGGGUAUUCUCUUUUUCCCUCACUGCUCCAUGAGCCUCACUGCUGAAGUUUCACUCUUGGUGGAAGAGGAUGACCUUUUCUAGUAGUGGAAGACCAUUCUCUAGUCUAGAGCUUCCAAACUAGUUCUCAAGAGCUGGCUAAGGUAUGGCAAAGCCAGGAGCGAUGGUCGAAUACACCCAAACAAAGCUU
rnacentral:sRNA from 1 species